AUACGGAGGAUCCGAGCGUUAUCCGGAUUUAUUGGGUUUAAAGGGUGCGCAGGCGGCCAUUUAAGUCAGCGGUUAAAUCGUGGGGCUCAACCCCAUUCUGCCGUUGAUACUGGGUGGCUUGAUUGCGGUCGAGGUUGGCGGAAUUCGUUGUGUAGCGGUGAAAUGCAUAGAUAUGACGAAGAACACCGAUUGCGUAGGCAGCUGACCAGACCGCAAAUGACGCUCAUGCACGAAAGUGCGGGGAUCGAACAGGAUUAGAUACCCUGGUAGUCCGCACAGUAAACGAUGAAUGCUUGUUUUCGGCGAUAUAAUGUCGGAGGCAAAGCGAAAGCGAUAAGUAUUCCACCUGGGGAGUACGCCGGCAACGGUGAAACUCAAAUGAAUUGACGGGG
rnacentral:rRNA from 1 species